CCCUUUGGUGUCUCCGGCACUGAAUUCUCACGGGACACACAUCUCCCAGGCUCUGACUCUGCUAUUUUGUUUUCUCCCCGCUCCUCCCUCCUUCAUUUGUCUGACCAUCCUCCCAUGUCUUCUUCUCUUUUGGGGUCCCUCACCCCCCCACCCCGUUCUGGUUAGCGUUCUCUGUAAAGCCGUUUGAUUCCUCCUGUGUUUAAACACCGCCCUUCACCCACGCCCUUAGCACCUCCCCUUCCUCAACAAAAGUGGCUGAUCAAGAUAGUUUCCUAAACAGAAACCGUUCUCACCCUGCUAAAUGCACUGAAAACCUACCAUCUGGUGUCUAUAUUGGCCUCCUGAGCGAUUGAUUAGUCUGAGUCCACAGCUGAGACCCGGAUCUCCUCUCCACCAGCUGCCAGGCUGAGGGCAGACCCAGGGCCCCAGGGGUGAAUUUGUCAGGGCAGAGGCCUCUGUGGCAGCCUCUUGGCAGCCUGCCAGUAGCCCCUUCUGGCAGCAUCCCAUCUCCCCAGCAUCACAGAUCAAGCCUCAGGAGUGUGGGACCGAAGGAGAAAACCCGAGAGUGACAAUGGCAAAGAGUGACCACCACACCCAGAAAGCAAAGAGGGCAAUAUUAACGGCAUCUUCCUUGGAUGGUCUCAGGAGCACGAACUAUUCCUCUCCAAAGAGCUGCAGGCUUUCGACAGCCUUAUUAGGUAAUAUUCUUAUACCUGUUUACUGGAGGAAACUGACGCACAGUGGUAGUAACAAGCCCAAGGUCACAGAACUCUGGUGGGAGGGGGUUACAAAGACAAGACCUGUGGAUCCAGAGCUUGGUGCCAGAGGCUUUGCUUAUAUCCAGUCAUUCAAUUCCUACUGCAGUCUUCGGAGGUCAGCAUCAGAUGUCAGACUCUGUGAAGCUGACAUGUCUUGCCCAAGGUGGCAGAGGCAAACAGGGCUGGGGUUUGCUCAUUCCAAAGCCCACAGUAUUUUCACUUCAGGUCACCUUACCUCUCUGUGCUUGUACUUCCUGAUCUGUUAAAUGGGAUAAUAACAGUACACGCCCCUGGGUUUGUUGUGGGAAUGACACACCUGGCCAUAGUGAGCUCUGUAAGUGGACGAUAUUGUUGUUAUUUUAUCACGAGGCCUCCUCCCUCAGAUCAGGAGCUGGCCACUCCCUGUUGCAGGAGAACCAGAUCCCGUGGGAGCCCCUUCCCGGCCCAGGUGCUCCUGAGGCCCAGCACAGGUGCUG
rnacentral:lncRNA from 1 species